CAAUAGCGUAUAUUAAAGUUGUUGCGGUAAAAAGCUCGUAGUUGGAUUUCUGUUGAGAACGACCGGUCCACACAACGUGUGCGCAUCUGGUUCGGUCUCGGCAUCCUCUCGCAGGACUACUCUGCGCUUGAUUGCGUGGAUAGGACUUCGGGACUUUUACUUUGAGGAAAUUAGAGUGUUCACGGCAGGCUAUCGCCAGGAUACAUUAGCAUGGAAUAAUACUAUAGGAUCUUGAUCCUAUUUUGUUGGUUUCUAGGAGCAAGAUAAUGAUUAAUAGGGACAAUUGGGGGCAUUUGUAUCAACACGCUAGAGGUGAAAUUCUUGGAUUGUGUUGCGACAAACUACUGCGAAAGCAUUUGCCAAGGAUGUUUUCAUUGAUCAAGAACGAAAGUUAGGGGAUCGAAGAUGAUCAGAUACCAU
rnacentral:rRNA from 1 species